rnacentral:rRNA from 1 species
CUACGGGGUGCAGCAGUGAGGAAUAUUGCACAAUGGGGGGAGCCCUGAUGCAGCAACGCCGCGUGGAGGAUGACGCAUUUCGGUGUGUAAACUCCUUUUAUAUGUCAAGAAAAUGACGGUAGCAUAUGAAUAAGCACCGGCUAACUCCAUGCCAGCAGCCGCGGUAAUACGGAGGGUGCAAGCGUUACUCGGAAUCACUGGGCGUAAAGGACGCGUAGGCGGGUUGGAAAGUCAGGUGUGAAAUCCUACAGCUUAACUGUAGAACUGCACUUGAAACUUCUAAUCUAGAGUAUGGGAGGGGGAGAUGGAAUUAGUGGUGUAGGGGUAAAAUCCGUAGAUAUCACUAGGAAUACCUAAAGCGAAGGCGAUCUCCUGGAACAUUACUGACGCUAAGGCGUGAAAGCGUGGGGAGCAAACAGGAUUAGAUACCCCUGUAGUC